rnacentral:sRNA from 1 species
AAAAAGUAGGGGUUGUAGGGGAUGGAAUCCCCUGCCCGUAUUAAGGAGGGUGCUCAGACUGCGAUAGCAGUCGUCGAAGGGAAC